GCUAUCGAUGAUAUUUCGUUGUGUUGCGUAGGUACAAAAAAAGCCUCUCUUUUCCAACAAUAUUUAAUAAGCAGUAAUCGUACUUUGAAUUUUGUACCUACAUAUACUGUUAUUCGAUAACAUCGGAUAAUAGUGCAGUUUUCAAUUCCGGAUACAAGAGAACCGAACCAAGGCGAUCAAGGUCGACCGUAUCGAGUAGUGCUCUCAAGAUGGCCUAUAGGCCUAAGAUGCUGGUAUGAAGACUCCAGAAAACGUCGCGUAAAUAGACCUCAACGGUGUGGACAGACCGUAACGGCAAACGAAUAAGCAAAGAGCCACCGGCGGUAAAAGACUGUGGAUUAUGAAAAUUCCCACCGGUGGAAAUCAUGAUGAAGAUGAUUCGACUUACAUGACAGUAUUGUUUGUUCGAUAUUCCGUAACAUCGCAUCGGACUGACGUGUCCAGCUGAACCAGCCUCCGGUCCAACUGCGAAUAAAAAAAAUAUAAAAAAAGAUCAUAUAAUUCAAAUAAAAUAAACAAAA